rfam:Brassica oleracea var. oleracea cultivar TO1000 chromosome C4, whole genome shotgun sequence
GUUUUUUUGGAAACAUCCGAUAAAAUUGGCAGAUACAUAAUAGAUUAGCAUGAUCCAUAUGUAAGUAUGAUACGAAGAAAUUAGAAAUAGUCAAAGUUUUU